UACGUAGGUGACCAGCGUUGUCCGGAUUUACUGGGCGUAACGAGCGCGCAGGCGGUCGAUCAAGUCGAGUGUGAAAGCCCCCGGCUCAACUGGGGAGGGUCAUUCGAUACUGAUCGACUCGAAGGCAGGAGAGGGUAGUGGAAUUCCCGGUGUAGUGGUGAAAUGCGUAGAUAUCGGGAGGAACACCAGUGGCGAAGGCGACUACCUGGCCUGUUCUUGACGCUGAGGCGCGAAAGCUAGGGGAGCAAACGGG
rnacentral:rRNA from 1 species